GCUGGGUGGGGUGGUGCAUGCCUGUAAUCCCAGCAGCUUGGGAGGCUGAGAUGGGAGGAUCACGAGUUCCAAGCCAGCCUCAGCAACAGCAAGGUGCUACGCAACUUAGUGAUAUCCUGUCUCUA
rnacentral:sRNA from 1 species